AGACCAUUUUACAGAUGGGGAGACUGAGGGCCGUAGAGAAGGGUCUUGUCCUGGACAGUGUGAUGCCCAGGGCAGUGGGAGGCUUAGGAGCGGUGGAGGUUGUAGAACUUGGCUGGGAGCAGGGCAAGAGUAUAAAAGUUUGCCUUAGCAGUUGGGCACUUCACCCACCUAGCAGCACCUAGGCUGCUCUCUGGCACCACCUGAGCAUGCUGGGCUGCCCCCUGCAGCACCCCCACCCCACCUCCCGCCUAGCCUCAGAGGUGGUAAGUCCUGGGUUUAUGCUCUGAGGUGCCGGGAAAGAAGCCUUAGCUCCGACCUGCCAUGUGACUUCAGGCCUGUCCUUCCCCCUCUGGGUCUUUAUCUGUAAGACAAGGUGGGAUCCUGUCUCUAACGAUCCUUCCCAUCUGCCCCGGCUCCGUGCUACCUGACCUCCACCCAGACUCUGCCCUGCAUGCUUUCUCCCAGGCACUUUGAGGGGAGAUGGGAGUUUAGAAUUCCACAAGCACAGAUGUCCUAAGUCCAGGAUUUAGGCUCCUCUCUAGGCUCCUGGGCCCUCGCAUCGGACUCUGCAGGAGGGAGUGUAGAGGAGAGCCCGAACACCCAGGCCACCACCUGGCUUCUUCUAGACGGAGGCGCCUCAGCAAGACGGACUUCAGCCUCUGGGCCUGCGCCUGGCUCCAACAGCAGGACCCUCUUCCUGCGCUGGGGAAAGGACGGGGCCGUGCUGGCCCCGACUGGAUAGGGAGGACGCACCAACAUUCUUCUCUUGGUUUAGAAACUGCUUUUUCAGCCAUUCUGUCCUUUGCUGCUCCAGCAACACUACAGCCAGCAAUAGACCCACUUUCCACGUAAGCCCGAGGUCCGGGAGAGAAGCACUCACAGAGCGUUCCUUCAAGUCAAGCCCAUAGGCCAGAGUAGAAUGCUGAGAGUUUGAACCCAACUUUCCUUCUUUUGAUGGUUGUGAAUUCAGCUUUCUGAGCCUCGCUUAUAUAAGGGGCAACCAUACCCACUCCACAGGGCUGUCUGUAAGGAUUAAGUAACAUGAGUUGGAAAGGCUGAAUGCGGUCCUUGAAAACAGACUUAGAAACUUGCCUCCUCCAGGAAGCCUUCCUUGAUUACCACCAGUUGGUUAGGCUUUUCCCUGUGGGAUCCCACAGUCCUGAGCUUUCAGCAUUGCACGUGUUGCUGCUGCCUGUCUGCUCUUCUCACCCCCAUUAGACUUUAUGUCCUUCAAGGGCAAUAAGUUUUUCUGAUUUGUUUCUGAAUCCCAAAUGCCUAGGGAGUCAUUGGACCAACUCCAUUGGUCCAAAUGAAAUUGGAACACUGUGUUCCUUUCCUUCCCCCCUAUUCCCCUCCCUCCCUCUUCCAGCUUUUCACCACAACAGACUAUCUUCUCCUACAAAGACUGUGGUAAUGAGUAGGUAGGUCCUCAAAGUUGAGCCCCCUGGCUCUCUUACCAGGUGCCAGCUUAGUCUUGGGGCAGUAGAGAGAGCAUUCUGGAACCUGAAGGAAAAGCAAUCACCCAGGGCUGGCUGGUGAAGGGCAUCUGGUGGUGUCCGGCUGGCAGGGGGCACCAUAUGGGCCCAGUAAGCAGGCAGGCCUGGAAUGCUGUGCCUGCAAUGAAGGCUGAUUACAGGGCCAUCACAUCCUCCCGGAGGUGACUUGCUGGGAGCUGUCAACCAUGCAUCCCCCACAGAGGAGCAGCCUGUUUGUGCCUGUUCUGCCAGUCCCAGAAACAGAAGCAGAAACAGAAGGUCAGAGCAGUGAGGGGCCUCCUCUGAUGUCACUCUGUACAAACCCUCACUUCACAGCAGCUCAGCAUCCCUCAAGGAUGGGGGCUGGGAGCCAUCAUUCACCCCAGGGUUCCCUGGAGCAGCCGACCAGUCCUGGCACAGAAGAGGUGCCAAAACUCAUCCAUGGACUUAAAGUCUGUCCUCUGGUCUUUGAGUGGCCCAGCAAGUGGGUGACCCUCUACAGCUGGGGAAGCAGCCAUGCCUCAAGGGGCUGAGAGAGGUGCUCUGAGGGGCCCCGGCCAACUGGACUGCCUGCCUAGGACCAGCAGCUCUCUCCAGCUCAGCCUAGGCACCCACGUGGAGGUGGAGAGCUGCUGAGUUAAUUAAGAAUGACAAAGCACCAUGUAAUUGCCAGCAAUUGAUGAGUCCCCAGCCUACUCCUGCCCCUCCUUCCCACUCCCUCCUUGGCACUGUCUGGCCUGGAGGUCAGAGCGCAGACAGGGAGACAGGCCAAGUGGCAAAACUGAGCACAAGCUGGUGUCAGGAGACCUAGACGCCAACUGCCUCUGCUGCCCUCUUUCAGUGGGACCCUGGGCAGGGAAAUUCCCUUCUUACACUGGCUCUGUUUUCCCAUCUGCAAGAUCUUGAUCUUGUGUGAAGAGAAGGGACAAGGCUAAGGGGCUGGGCCAAGGGGGCUCUGUCUUGGGACUGGGCUGUGCCCUGCAGGUGGGUUGAGCUCAACAAGGCAGACAGUCCAGGGUUUGAAUCCUACCCGUGCCACUCACCAGAUCUGUGGUCUUGGGCAGGCCAUUUAUCUUCUCUGAGAGAGAUUCCUCAUCUCCAAAAUGGGAUUUGUUUGAGAGCACUUAGCUCUCCCUAGGAGAACCUGCGUUUGUCCUAGAUCUGUGCCCAUCGCAGAGAUCCCUGGACAAGCUCACUCCUGUCAAAGUGAUAUGGAAUUUAAGGGUUGAGAACUUGUUCAGCAGUUUAAUAGAGUGAUUUUAUAUCUUGAAUCUCAUAAUAAAAAUGGGCUUGUAUGUUU